rnacentral:lncRNA from 1 species
AAAGGUGUUGGCAAGUCCGGCAAGCCACUUCACUUCAAAGGUUCAAGCUUUCACCGUGUGAUCCCUAACUUCAUGUGCCAAGGUGGUGACUUCACCGCCGGAAACGGCACCGGCGGUGAAUCAAUCUAUGGGGCUAAGUUUGCCGAUGAGAACUUCGUGAAGAAGCACACUGGACCUGGUGUGCUUUCCAUGGCUAAUGCCGGUCCUGGGACUAAUGGAUCUCAGUUCUUUGUCUGCACUGUUAAGACCGAAUGGCUUGACGGGAAACAUGUCGUUUUCGGCCAGGUUGUUGAAGGGAUGGACGUGGUGAAGGCAAUUGAGAAGGUUGGAUCUGGAAAUGGCAGGACUUCGAAGCCUGUUGUUGUUGCUGACUGUGGUCAACUCUCUUAGAGUCCCUUGGUUGACAUGUCGUUCGGUGGUGUCUUUGUUUCGUCUUUUUAUUAUUGGGUCUUCUCUAGUAGUUUUGGGUGCGUUUUAGUCCUUUAGUUUUUGAGGUUUU